CACGUAGGGUGCGAGCGUUGUCCGGAAUUAUUGGGCGUAAAGAGCUCGUAGGCGGUGUGUCGCGUCGGCCGUGAAAACCUGCAGCUUAACUGUGGGCUUGCGGUCGAUACGGGCAUCACUGGAGUUCGGCAGGGGAGACUGGAAUUCCUGGUGUAGCGGUGAAAUGCGCAGAUAUCAGGAGGAACACCGGUGGCGAAGGCGGGUCUCUGGGCCGAUACUGACGCUAAGACACGAAAGCGUGGGUAGCAAACAGG
rnacentral:rRNA from 1 species